rnacentral:rRNA from 1 species
UGAGUUUGAUCCUGGCUCAGGAUGAACGCUAGCGGCAGGCCUAACACAUGCAAGUCGAGGGGUAACAGGGAGCUUGCUCCGCUGACGACCGGCGCACGGGUGCGCACCGCGUAUGGAACCUACCUUGUACAGGGGAAUAGCCUUUGGAAACGAAGAUUAAUGCCCCGUGGUACCACGACCUGGCAUCGGGAUGUGGUUAAAGCCUUCGGGCGGUACAAGAUGGCCAUGCGUCCCAUUAGCUUGUUGGUAAGGUAACGGCUUACCAAGGCUACGAUGGGUAGGGGCCCUGAGAGGGGGAUCCCCCACACUGGUACUGAGACACGGACCAGACUCCUACGGGAGGCAGCAGUGAGGAAUAUUGGACAAUGGAGGAGACUCUGAUCCAGCCAUGCCGCGUGCAGGAAGAAUGCCCUAUGGGUAGUAAACUGCUUUUAUACAGGAAGAAAAAGAGCUACGUGUAGCUUACUGACGGUACUGUAAGAAUAAGGACCGGCUAACUCCGUGCCAGCAGCCGCGGUAAUACGGAGGGUCCGAGCGUUAUCCGGAAUUAUUGGGUUUAAAGGGUCCGUAGGCGGGCCGAUAAGUCAGGGGUGAAAGUUUGCAGCUCAACUGUAAAAUUGCCUUUGAUACUGUUGGUCUUGAGUUAUAGUGAAGUUGCCGGAAUAUGUAGUGUAGCGGUGAAAUGCAUAGAUAUUACAUAGAACACCGAUUGCGAAGGCAGGUGACUAACUAUAUACUGACGCUGAUGGACGAAAGCGUGGGGAGCGAACAGGAUUAGAUACCCUGGUAGUCCACGCCGUAAACGAUGGAUACUAGCUGUCCGGGUCCUUGAGACCUGGGCGGCCAAGCGAAAGUGAUAAGUAUCCCACCUGGGGAGUACGUUCGCAAGAAUGAAACUCAAAGGAAUUGACGGGGGCCCGCACAAGCGGUGGAGCAUGUGGUUUAAUUCGAUGAUACGCGAGGAACCUUACCAGGGCUUAAAUGCAUUUUGACAGGGGUAGAGAUACCUUUUCCUUCGGGCAAUUUGCAAGGUGCUGCAUGGUUGUCGUCAGCUCGUGCCGUGAGGUGUCAGGUUAAGUCCUAUAACGAGCGCAACCCCUACCGUUAGUUGCCAGCAUGUCAUGAUGGGGACUCUAACGGGACUGCCGGUGCAAACCGUGAGGAAGGUGGGGAUGACGUCAAAUCAUCACGGCCCUUACGUCCUGGGCCACACACGUGCUACAAUGGCAGGUACAGAGAGCAGCCAUGUCGCAAGGCAGAGCGAAUCUAUAAAACCUGUCACAGUUCGGAUCGGGGUCUGCAACUCGACCCCGUGAAGCUGGAAUCGCUAGUAAUCGGAUAUCAGCCAUGAUCCGGUGAAUACGUUCCCGGGCCUUGUACACACCGCCCGUCAAGCCAUGGAAGCCGGGAGUGCCUGAAGUCCGUCACCGUAAGGAGCGGCCUAGGGCAAGAUCGGUAACUAGGGCUAAGUCGUAACAAGGUAGCCGUACCGGAGGUGCGGCUGGAUCACCUCCUUUCUA